CCUACGGGCGGCAGCAGUGAGGAAUAUUGGUCAAUGGACGAGAGUCUGAACCAGCCAAGUAGCGUGAAGGAUGACUGCCCUAUGGUUUGUAAACUUCUUUUAUAAAGGAAUAAAACGAGGCACGUGUGCCUUUUUGCAUGUACUUUAUGAAUAAGGAUCGGCUAGCUCCGUGCCAGCAGCCGCGGUAAUACGGAGGAUCCGAGCGUUAUCAGGAUUUAUUGGGUUUAAAGGGAACGUAGAUGGGUUGUUAAGUCAGUUGUGAAAGUUUGCGGCUCAAACGUAAAAUUGCACUUGAUACUGGCAGUCUAGAGUACAGUUGAGGUAGGCGGAAUUCGUGGUGUAGCGGUGAAAUGCGUAGAUAUCACGAAGAACCCCGAUUGCGAAGGCAGCUUACUAAACUGUGACUGACAUUGAUGCUCGAAAGUGUGGGUAUCAAACAGGAUUAGAUACCCUAGUAGUC
rnacentral:rRNA from 1 species